rnacentral:rRNA from 1 species
AGAGUUUGAUCCUGGCUCAGAUUGAACGCUGGCGGCAUGCCUAACACAUGCAAGUCGAACGGUUUAGAUGGGGCUUGCUCCAUUUAGAUAGUGGCGGACGGGUGAGUAAUAUGUAGGAAUCUGCCUUGAGGAGGGGGAUAACUUGGGGAAACUCAAGCUAAUACCGCGUAAGUCAGAGAUGAGAAAGCAGGGGACCGAAAGGCCUUGCGCCUUAAGAUGAGCCUACAUCGGAUUAGCUAGUUGGUGGGGUAAAGGCCUACCAAGGCGAUGAUCCGUAGCUGGUCUGAGAGGAUGACCAGCCACACUGGGACUGAGACACGGCCCAGACUCCUACGGGAGGCAGCAGUGGGGAAUAUUGGACAAUGGGCGAAAGCCUGAUCCAGCAAUGCCGCGUGUGUGAAGAAGGCCUUCGGG